AGAAAAGGUGGCCUCUACCUGUAAGCUAUCGCCUGAAGAGGGGUUUGCGUCUGAUUAGCUGGUUGGAGGGGUAACGGCCCACCAAGGCGAUGAUCAGUAGCCGGUCUGAGAGGAUGAACGGCCACACUGGAACUGAGACACGGUCCAGACUCCUACGGGAGGCAGCAGUGGGGAAUCUUCCGCAAUGGGCGAAAGCCUGACGGAGCAACGCCGCGUGAGUGAUGACGGCCUUCGGGUUGUAAAACUCUGUGAUCCGGGACGAAAAGGCAGAGUGCGAAGAACAAACUGCAUUGACGGUACCGGAAAAGCAAGCCACGGCUAACUACGUGCCAGCAGCCGCGGUAAUACGUAGGUGGCAAGCGUUGUCCGGAAUUAUUGGGCGUAAAGCGCGCGCAGGCGGCUUCCCAAGUCCCUCUUAAAAGUGCGGGGCUUAACCCCGUGAUGGGAAGGAAACUGGGAAGCUGGAGUAUCGGAGAGGAAAGUGGAAUUCCUAGUGUAGCGGUGAAAUGCGUAGAGAUUAGGAAGAACACCGGUGGCGAAGGCGACUUUCUGGACGAAAACUGACGCUGAGGCGCGAAAGCGUGGGGAGCAAACAGGAUUAGAUACCCUGGUAGUCCACGCCGUAAACGAUGGAUACUAGGUGUAGGAGGUAUCGACCCCUCCUGUGCC
rnacentral:rRNA from 1 species